ACGAGACUGUUGUGUAAGCAAUGUUUUGACUUGCGUGGUAAACAUCUGAGAGGUCCAUCACUUUCCUCCCACAGUGAGCUGACAUACUGACAUGAUAUCACUGGAAAACUGUCAGGCGUUAAAACCGCUAGACACCAGUUCCAUUCGGUAUAACGACAGUCCGUCCCGGAUACACACCGAUCUGACCAUCUCUCUUUUGAAGAAGGAAAUGGUGUAUGGUACUGAAUCUAAAGCUAUAAGACAGUCAGUGAUGAUGUGAUCACUGCUGGAGCCACUGACGUAGCCGACGUCGAGGUGAAAGAAAGCAAAGACACAACCCGCGAGCUGAGGGAGGCGAGGGUCUGCAGUUCAGUGAAGGUGGCAGUGCAGUGGCUCUUAAUCAGCCGCCAUGGAAUUGUUGCACCCGACACCAACCUGCUUUAUAUGGAAAACGUAAUCCGAUCACCCGGAAGUGAGGGAGGCUGUGUACAAGUCGCUCCGCGGCAAGUCUAUCUCAACUGUCCGUCCUGGCUUAGUGUUUAAAGAUGGAACACCUUCUCGUAGUAGUUAUAGUAGCCGUAUUCUUGCUACAAAUGCACAAUUUGAUUGAU